UACGGAGGGUGCAAGCGUUGCUCGGAAUUACUGGGCGUAAAGCGCACGUAGGCGGCUUUCUAAGUCGGGGGUGAAAUCCUGGAGCUCAACUCCAGAACUGCCUUCGAUACUGGAGAGCUCGAGUCCGGGAGAGGUGAGUGGAACUGCGAGUGUAGAGGUGAAAUUCGUAGAUAUUCGCAAGAACACCAGUGGCGAAGGCGGCUCACUGGCCCGGUACUGACGCUGAGGUGCGAAAGCGUGGGGAGCAAACAGG
rnacentral:rRNA from 1 species